AUUGAACGCUGGCGGCAGGCUUAACACAUGCAAGUCGAGCGGUAGCACAGGGGAGCUUGCUCCCUGGGUGACGAGCGGCGGACGGGUGGGUAAUGUCUGGGAAACUGCCUGAUGGAGGGGGAUAACUACUGGAAACGGUAGCUAAUACCGCAUAACGUCGCAAGACCAAAGAGGGGGACCUUCGGGCCUCUUGCCAUCAGAUGUGCCCAGAUGGGAUUAGCUAGUAGGUGGGGUAAUGGCUCACCUAGGCGACGAUCCCUAGCUGGUCUGAGAGGAUGACCAGCCACACUGGAACUGAGACACGGUCCAGACUCCUACGGGAGGCAGCAGUGGGGAAUAUUGCACAAUGGGCGCAAGCCUGAUGCAGCCAUGCCGCGUGUGUGAAGAAGGCCUUCGGGUUGUAAAGCACUUUCAGCGAGGAGGAAGGUGGUGAGCUUAAUACGCUCAUCAAUUGACGUUACUCGCAGAAGAAGCACCGGCUAACUCCGUG
rnacentral:rRNA from 1 species